GAGUUUGAUCCUGGCUCAGAACGAACGCUGGCGGCGUGCUUAACACAUGCAAGUCGAACGGGAUUCGGAGCUUGCUCCGAUGAGAGUGGCGCACGGGUGAGUAACGCGUGGAUAACCUGCCCUGGUAUCUGGGAUAACAUCUCGAAAGGGGUGCUAAUACCGGAUAAGCCUACGGGAUCUUCGGAUUCUGCAGGAAAAGGAGGCCUCUAUUUAUAAGCUUCCGUAUCAUGAUGGGUCCGCGUACCAUUAGCUAGUUGGUGGGGUAAUGGCCUACCAAGGCGACGAUGGUUAGCUGGUCUGAGAGGAUGAUCAGCCACACUGGAACUGAGACACGGUCCAGACUCCUACGGGAGGCAGCAGUGGGGAAUUUUGCGCAAUGGGGGAAACCCUGACGCAGCAACGCCGCGUGAGUGAUGAAGGCUUUCGGGUCGUAAAGCUCUGUCAGAGGGGAAGAAAUGAAACGUGCUAAUAUCACGUUUUCUUGACGGUACCCUCAAAGGAAGCACCGGCUAACUCCGUGCCAGCAGCCGCGGUAAUACAAGGGCGMMYY
rnacentral:rRNA from 1 species